UACGUAGGGGGCGAGCGUUGUCCGGAUUUAUUGGGCGUAAAGAGCUCGUAGGCGGUUUGGCAAGUCGGGUGUGAAAACUCCGGGCUCAACUCGGAGACGCCACUCGAUACUGCUAUGACUCGAGUCCGGUAGGGGAGUGCGGAAUUCCUGGUGUAGCGGUGAAAUGCGCAGAUAUCAGGAGGAACACCGGUGGCGAAGGCGGCACCUCGUGGGCCGGAACUGACGCUGAGGAGCGAAAGCGUGGGGAGCGAACAGG
rnacentral:rRNA from 1 species